CAGAGGUCCCGCUGCGCUAGCUGCGCGAAGCCUGGGCGAGCGGAGCGCAAUUGCAGCUGAGGAGGUCAGUGUCUAUGCAAACAGACUAGACUCUACAUAAAAGAAUGAAUGGACACAAAUCUGACAUCAGCAAUGGCAAUAUUGAAAAAGCAGUAGGAGAUCUUUUCAACAUCAUAGGACACUCUGUAACUGAUCUUAAGGUCUCAGGUGACUUCCGGACCCAGUGAAAGUCUUGUUAUGUGGGCAUUCCAUCCUCUUCUGGGCCUGCAGGAGGGCAUCAUCCUUGGAUUUUGAAACUCAGCUCUGCCUUUCUGCCAGAGCUAAUUUGCAUUGGAUAGUU